GUGUUGUUUGCCUGGGCCUAUCCGCCGCGCGGGGCUGCCCAAACCACCUCUGCCGCCGCCUCCUCGGCUCCAAGCCGCUCCCCGCGGGGCGAGCUCACACCCGGAGCGCUCGGCGAUUGAGCGGGCGGCGGCGUGGGGAGGCGGGGUUUGCUGUCCUCGGGGUUUGAAUGAACCCGGCUUCUUGAAGCAGCGCCCUCGCCUUGCCUUUCUUUGCUCACCUUCCCCUCAGGCCCCCUGCUUUGAGUCCGAGGCCUGUUUUCUCACGGAGAAGGAUCUUCCAUUUUUAUUUGUUGUCUCUCUGGCUGGCAGCUGGUGCAGAGCAGUGACCCGCCUUCUAAGAAGGGUUGCAUCGCGUUUUGCCUAAAAGCCUAAGUGGUUGGCGGAGUUCUAAGCCUUAUCUGACAAGAGUCUCCGGGCGAAGAAAAGCCCAGCUCCAUAAGGGUCAGCCCCGCUUACGGUGUAGCGUAAGCAAGCGUAAGGGCAAGUGGAAUUAACAUCUGGCUGCACAAAGCAUCUUACUGUCAAAUGCACUUGAGCAGUGUCCUGCCUCAGCUUUCCUACAAAGUCCUGAAGUCAGGAUGAUGCCAUGGAACGUAAUCAGCGCCUGAUUAACUGUACCAAAGGUGGAAGUGACCCCACAUGUAAAUACUGGCCUUGGGAACAAGGCAUGCUUACACCCCAGGCUCAAAGCCAUUGUCUCACUUCUUACCUGGGCUUCACACUCAGCCUUGGGCAUUUUUGUCUCCUGCCUGAGGCCUGACAUGUUGCAAUGGUGAGGAGGUCCCAGAUGCUGAACUUGACUGGCAUUUCCUUUGCUUGUUAAGGUAAUUGCAAAAUCAGCUGAUGACAAAGCCAUGCAGCAAGACAAAGCAAUUCGAAUAAAGAAUUACAUGGUAUUGUCUACCCCAUCUUAUACAAUGAGCCAGAGAUCCCUGAACAACGUGCUUUUUCCCCAUCGUGUACAAUAUAGAAAGCUCAAAAGUGCUUCUUACAUUUACGUAUAUACUGUCUCUAUCCUCAGGUCCCCUCCUCCUCCCAGUUCACCAAGAUAAAUGAAGACAUUUUGCAGUCUUAUGAAUUGGGGCUUUCAUUGUCGUUUUCGUUUGGAAAACCUGCUUCAGAGAGGCAAUGUCACUGACUCUGAACCAUAGAUUAAAAAUAAUGCUUCGGGAGGCCGAGGCGGGUGGAUCAGGGGGUCAGGAGUUUGCGACCAGUCUGGCCAACAUAGUGAAACCUUGUCUCUACUAAAAAUACAAAAAAUUAGCCAGGUGUGGUGGUGUGCGCCUGUAAUCCCAGCUACUCGCGAGGCUGAGGCAGGAGAAUCGCGUGAACCCGGGAGGUGGAGGUUGCAGUGAGCUGAGAUCACGCCAUUGCACUCCAACCCCGGGCGACAGUGCAAGACUCCGUCUCAAAAAAUAUAUAAUAAUAAUAAUAAUGCUUACCAUCAGUAUGAAUCUGCAAAGUCCUAAAUAUUCUCCACCCUAUAGAUAAGUGGGAAUACUGG
rnacentral:lncRNA from 10 species